CUGGCGCCACGGGGUCGGAGCCACGCCCCCGGAGCGCGUCGGAAGCCGGGCGCGGGAGACUGAACGGGAGAAAGGAGGUUCGGACUACAUGAUGGCUCAAGUCUGUUUCAUGUGCUGCAUCUCUACCAGAUAAACUUCUGCCCACUGCGUGCUUCUAGACACACCUCCUGAGCCCCUGUCCACACAUAGAGUCACAGUGAGCAUCCGGGAUACACAGGUGUAUCCUGCCCAGCCCAGCCCUGGUCUCUUUUGCGUGUCUCCAAGAUUUCGCUUAUGUUGGUCUCUCUGAAGUCACUUGCAGAAACUCAGCCCUGCUGGUCAUCCCUCAGUGCCACAGCCUGCCAAGAGCGAACCCAUGAGCAUCUGGAGAGUGAGGCCAUCAUGAAGAAGCCACGAACAGCUGUGAGGAGUCAUCACAGGAAACAGGCAUCCCACCAGGAGGGAAAAAAGAAGUGUGUCCUUAGCAGCAGUCGGGUCAAGCCUUCUACCCCAAAUGCAGACUUGGCCAGGCGGCAGAAGGACGUGGUGUUGCAGGCCUUCUCCCCGUACCAUCUCUUCAGAGACACAGCUGAGGUCACAGUCUUUCGGGAGAAGCUACUGAGCUGGUACGACCGAGAGAAGCGGGACCUACCCUGGAGAAGGCGGGCGGAGGGGGAGGUGGACCUGGACAGGCGGGCAUAUGCUGUGUGGGUCUCAGAGGUCAUGCUGCAGCAGACCCAGGUUGCCACGGUGAUCGACUAUUAUACCCGAUGGAUGCAGAAGUGGCCAACGCUGCAGGACCUGGCCAGUGCUUCCUUGGAGGAGGUCAACCAGCUCUGGGCGGGCCUGGGCUACUAUUCUCGAGCCCGGCGGCUGCAGGAGGGAGCCCGGAAGGUGGUAGAGGAGCUAGGCGGCCACGUGCCACGUACAGCAGAGACCCUGCAGCAGUUCCUGCCUGGCGUGGGGCGGUACACAGCUGGAGCCAUUGCCUCCAUUGCCUUUGGACAGGCAGCCGGUGUGGUAGACGGGAAUGUCGUACGGGUCCUGUGCCGAGUCCGAGCCAUUGGUGCGGAUCCCAGCAGCACCCUCGUCUCCCAGCAUCUCUGGAGCUUAGCCCAGCAGCUGGUAGACCCUGCCCGGCCCGGGGACUCAAACCAAGCGGCCAUGGAGCUGGGGGCCACAGUGUGCACCCCGCAGCACCCACGCUGCAGCCAGUGCCCAGUGCAGAGCCUGUGCCGUGCACACUGGAGGGUGGAGCGGGAACAGCGCUUGGCCCUGCAGAACCUGCCAGGGAGCCCCGACGUGGAGGAGUGCGCCCCCAGCACGGGGCAGUGCCAGCUGUGUGCGCCUCCCAUGGAGCCCUGGGACCAGACCCUGGGAGUGACCAACUUCCCCAGAAAAGCCAGCCGCAGGCCCCCCAGGGAGGAGUGCUCUGCCGUCUGUGUUCUGGAGCAGCCCAGGGCCCGUGGAGGUCCUCGAAUUCUGCUGGUGCAGAGGCCCAGCUCAGGUUUGCUGGCAGGACUGUGGGAGUUCCCCUGUGUGACUGCAGAGCCCUCCGGGCCAUGUGAGCGCGAGGCCCUGCUGGGGGAGCUGCAGCGCUGGGCUGGGCCCCUCCCAGCCACCCACCUCCAGCACCUGGGGCAGGUGGUCCACACCUUCUCUCACAUCAAGCUGACAUAUCAAGUAUACAGUCUGGCCCUGGACGGGCACACCCCAGUGACCGUCACGCCACCUGGCGCUCGCUGGCUGACCCGCGAGGAGUUUCACACUGCUGCUGUCUCCACCGCUAUGAAAAAGGUGUUCCGUGUGUAUGAGGGCCAACAGCCAGGCACCCGCAAGGGUUCCAAACGGUCCCCAGAGUCUACUCCAUCCAGCCGGAAAAGGCCCGGCCCGGGCCAGCAAGUCCUGGAUAAUUUCUUCCGGCCUCACCUCCCCACGGAUGCACCCCACCUCAACAGUACGGCCCAGUGACGCCUCUGCAAGCCCCCACUUCCUGAGAAUCCGUUUUUAGCUUUUUUUUUUUUUUUUUAAAUAAAGUACUUAUUUUUAUAGUCCUUUUGGAGACUUUCCACCUCCUCCCUAGCCCACUCAUUCUUCUCCUCAGAGGGGCCCGGAAAGUGGUGAAGUCCCGCACUCCCAGCCAGCCCGGGGCAAAUGGAGCCAUGGCAACAAAGAGCCUUGUGCUCGCUACAGCAGAGGAUCCUGCUUUUGUCCGAUCCAGUCCAGUGCGCCAGUCUCUGCAAGC